UACGGAGGGUGCAAGCGUUAUCCGGAUUCACUGGGUUUAAAGGGUGCGUAGGCGGAUAGGUAAGUCCGUGGUGAAAUCCUGCAGCUUAACUGCAGAACUGCCGUGGAUACUAUCUAUCUUGAAUAUCGUGGAGGUUAGCGGAAUAUGUCAUGUAGCGGUGAAAUGCUUAGAUAUGACAUAGAACACCCAUUGCGAAGGCAGCUAACUACGCGAUAAUUGACGCUGAUGCACGAAAGCGUGGGGAUCAAACAGG
rnacentral:rRNA from 1 species